GGCCGAGUGUCGGAAUUGGCAGACGAACCGGACUCAAAAUCCGGCGCACUUCACUGGGCGUGUGGGUUCAAGUCCCACCUCGGCCACCA
rnacentral:tRNA from 1 species